rnacentral:rRNA from 1 species
ACUCCUACGGGAGGCAGCAGUGGGGAAUUUUGGACAAUGGGCGAAAGCCUGAUCCAGCAAUGCCGCGUGCAGGAUGAAGGCCUUCGGGUUGUAAACUGCUUUUGUACGGAACGAAAAAGCUCCUUCUAAUACAGGGGGCCCAUGACGGUACCGUAAGAAUAAGCACCGGCUAACUACGUGCCAGCAGCCGCGGUAAUACGUAGGGUGCGAGCGUUAAUCGGAAUUACUGGGCGUAAAGCGUGCGCAGGCGGUUAUGUAAGACAGAUGUGAAAUCCCCGGGCUCAACCUGGGAACUGCAUUUGUGACUGCAUGGCUAGAGUACGGUAGAGGGGGAUGGAAUUCCGCGUGUAGCAGUGAAAUGCGUAGAUAUGCGGAGGAACACCGAUGGCGAAGGCAAUCCCCUGGACCUGUACUGACGCUCAUGCACGAAAGCGUGGGGAGCAAACAGGAUUAGAUACCCGUGUAGUCCCAUG